UUCAGACAAUUCUUCUUCUCAAUAGGCAACAUGGACAUGCUCGUCUCUAUGCUAAUUAUGACUAUCAAGUGAGUAGUCUUAGAAGACUAGCAUCAGGUGUACAAGAAGAAGCUCAGCAGUGCAGGAGGAGAAAAAGGGAUGAAGAAGACAAACCUUGGGAUCUUAAAGAGGAACUAAAGAGUGUGAAGGUCACCAUGAUAAGCGUCGAUGGUUCAAAAAGGAUACAAAAGGAUAUUGCCAUUAACCAGCAAAGGAUUUCUACCCACCUCUGAAAAUAUUGGCAGCUUGCAUGCCUCUGAUCGCUCUAUUUUUGACUUCUAUAUUCAGUUUGUUUCUCCAAUUCCAGUAUAAGUAAGAAAGGUUUUGCAUUCUCAAAUGCUUGCCAUAAAAUUUACAUGAAGCAAAAUCUAUUCGGAUUGAAAAGUUCAAGACAAACUCAUGGAUGCUCAUAAUGAAUGUGAUGUGGCAAUACUUGUAAAGUUGUAGUUAGAUUA